rnacentral:rRNA from 2 species
GCAGUCGAACGCACUCUCGUUUAGAUUGAAGGAGCUUGCUCCUGAUUGAUAAACAUUUGAGUGAGUGGCGGACGGGUGAGUAACACGUGGGUAACCUGCCCUAAAGUGGGGGAUAACAUUUGGAAACAGAUGCUAAUACCGCAUAAAACCUAACACCGCAUGGUGUAGGGUUGAAAGAUGGUUUCGGCUAUCACUUUAGGAUGGACCCGCGGUGCAUUAGUUAGUUGGUGAGGUAAAGGCUCACCAAGACCGUGAUGCAUAGCCGACCUGAGAGGGUAAUCGGCCACACUGGGACUGAGACACGGCCCAGACUCCUACGGGAGGCAGCAGUAGGGAAUCUUCCACAAUGGACGAAAGUCUGAUGGAGCAACGCCGCGUGAGUGAAGAAGGUUUUCGGAUCGUAAAACUCUGUUGUUGGAGAAGAAUGUAUCUGAUAGUAACUGAUCAGGUAGUGACGGUAUCCAACCAGAAAGCCACGGCUAACUACGUGCCAGCAGCCGCGGUAAUACGUAGGUGGCAAGCGUUGUCCGGAUUUAUUGGGCGUAAAGCGAGCGCAGGCGGUUUCUUAAGUCUGAUGUGAAAGCCUUCGGCUCAACCGAAGAAGUGCAUCGGAAACUGGGAAACUUGAGUGCAGAAGAGGACAGUGGAACUCCAUGUGUAGCGGUGAAAUGCGUAGAUAUAUGGAAGAACACCAGUGGCGAAAGCGGCUGUCUGGUCUGUAACUGACGCUGAGGCUCGAAAGCAUGGGUAGCAAACAGGAUUAGAUACCCUGGUAGUCCAUGCCGUAAACGAUGAGUGCUAGGUGUUGGAGGGUUUCCGCCCUUCAGUGCCGCAGCUAACGCAUUAAGCACUCCGCCUGGGGAGUACGACCGCAAGGUUGAAACUCAAAGGAAUUGACGGGGGCCCGCACAAGCGGUGGAGCAUGUGGUUUAAUUCGAAGCAACGCGAAGAACCUUACCAGGUCUUGACAUCCUUUGACCACUCUAGAGAUAGAGCUUUCCCUUCGGGGACAAAGUGACAGGUGGUGCAUGGUUGUCGUCAGCUCGUGUCGUGAGAUGUUGGGUUAAGUCCCGCAACGAGCGCAACCCUUAUUACUAGUUGCCAGCAUUUAGUUGGGCACUCUAGUGAGACUGCCGGUGACAAACCGGAGGAAGGUGGGGACGACGUCAAAUCAUCAUGCCCCUUAUGACCUGGGCUACACACGUGCUACAAUGGAUGGUACAACGAGUUGCGAGACCGCGAGGUUUAGCUAAUCUCUUAAAACCAUUCUCAGUUCGGAUUGUAGGCUGCAACUCGCCUACAUGAAGCCGGAAUCGCUAGUAAUCGCGGAUCAGCAUGCCGCGGUGAAUACGUUCCCGGGCCUU